UUGGUUAAAUGGAGAAAAUUACUCUAUUUUGGCUACUUCUUGCAGUAAGAAGUUGCAGCCUUGAUGAAUAAUAUCAGGCCCAGGAUUCACUGAGCCUGAAAUUUUUAAACUUUGAUUGGGUUCUCAAACCUGCGACGGUCAAUUGAGAAGUGGAGUGCAGGUAGAUAUUCUUCCAUGAAUGCUAUCUGCUAGAUUACCAU
rnacentral:misc_RNA from 1 species